rnacentral:rRNA from 1 species
UUGUGGAGCGAUUUGUCUGGUAAAUUCCGAUAUAAAACGAGACUAGCCUACUAAAUAGUUCGGCGAACCCACAGAGGGGCCCGCUUCAACUUCUUGGAGGGACAGGUGGCGUUUAAGCCACACGAGAUCGAGCAAUAACA